rnacentral:piRNA from 1 species
AGUCAUAGAAAAGCACUUUGCUAAGGUGGU